AUACGGAGGGGGUUAGCGUUGUUGGGAAUUACUGGGCGUAAAGCGCACGUAGGCGGAUUGGAAAGUUGGGGGUGAAAUCCCAGGGCUCAACCCUGGAACUGCCUCCAAAACUAACAGUCUAGAGUUCGAGAGAGGUGAGUGGAAUUCCAAGUGUAGAGGUGAAAUUCGUAGAUAUUUGGAGGAACACCAGUGGCGAAGGCGGCUCACUGGCUCGAUACUGACGCUGAGGUGCGAAAGCGUGGGGAGCAAACAGGAUUAGAAACCCUUGUAGUCC
rnacentral:rRNA from 1 species